GACGAACGCUGGCGGCGUGCUUAACACAUGCAAGUCGAGCGAUGGAGCACCUUCGGGUGUGAAUUAGCGGCGAACGGGUGAGGAACACGUGAGAAAUCUGCCUUCAACACUGGGAUAACUCCGGGAAACCGGGGCUAAUACCGGAUAUGAAACCUGCGGGCAUCCGCGGGUUUGGAAAGUUUUUCGGUUGAAGAUGAUCUCGCGGCCUAUCAGCUUGUUGGUGAGGUAAUGGCUCACCAAGGCGACGACGGGUAGCCGGCCUGAGAGGGCGACCGGCCACACGGGGACGGGGAAACGGCCCAGACUCCGACGGGAGGCAGCAGUGGGGAAUAUUGGGCAAUGGAGGAAACUCUGACCCGGCGCCGCCGCGUGCGGGAUGAAGGCCUUCGGGUUGUAAACCGCUUUCAGCAGGGAAGAAGCGAAAGUGACGGUACCUGCAGAAGAAGCACCGGCUAACUAUGUGCCAGCCGCCGCAGUAA
rnacentral:rRNA from 1 species